CACACACUCGUCCAGAGAUGGGAUGACGGACGCUCUUCGGCAGAUGCACUGCGCUAAACUCAGACGCAAGUUUUCCAUUAUCAAACCGGCCAAAAGUGUAAAUCUGCAGAGCUUCACGCGGGGGCUAUCAGAUUUCAUGAGCUGCCCGUACAGAUCAAACACAACCGAGCGAGAGGUGAACAGGUUUGUGCCUCUUUUUUGCCUUUGGCAGAUG